rnacentral:rRNA from 1 species
CCUACGGGUGGCAGCAGUGAGGAAUAUUGGUCAAUGGGCGUAAGCCUGAACCAGCCAAGUCGCGUGAGGGAUGAAGGUUCUAUGGAUCGUAAACCUCUUUUAUAAGGGAAUAAAGUGCGGGACGUGUCCCGUUUUGUAUGUACCUUAUGAAUAAGGAUCGGCUAACUCCGGUCCAGCAACCGCGGUAAUAAGGAGGAUCAGAAAGUUAUCCGGAUUUAUUGGGUUUAAAGGGGGCGGAGGGGGCAUUUUCAGUCCGGGGGGAAAGUCUGUGGAUCAAACCUAGAAUUGCCGUUGAAACUGGGAGUCUUGAGUAGGUUUGAGGCAGGCGGAAUGCGUGGUGUAGAGGUGAAAUGCUUAGAUAUCACGCAGAACCCCGAUUGCGAAGGCAGCCUGCCAAGCCAUGACUGACGCUGAUGCACGAAAGCGUGGGGAUCAAACAGGAUUAGAUACCCUUGUAGUC